UCUCUCUCUCUCUCUCUCUCUCUCUCUAUCUCUCUCUCUCUCUCACUCUCAUUCUCUUUACCCCUAGCCCUUCGCCCGCUUCACAACUCCUUGGAUUUGCAUACCGUGGGCCAGUUUCCCACACGUCGUCGACGACCUUCGUUCUCUCCUUCUUCUUCUUUGCCACGUUCUUCGCUCCCGUUCUCUCUCCCUUUCUUUUUCUCUCUCUCUCUUUCUCUCUCUCUCUCUCUCUCUCUCUUGUCGUCUAGCUACCCUUUCACCCGCCGACGACAAAAAGGAACGCGAGACGCAAAAAAAGGAGAGACGUUUCCUUCUUCGUCAAGGCGAUAGCAUUUCCUGGCGAGACUUUUCUCAAGACGGCCGUACCACCUCGUCUUGCUUAGCACGUUCAUUGUCGACGGACCGUACGAAGCUCGAAAAUGCUGACGGAUAUAUCUUUGUCUUCUCUCUCUUCUUUUUUUUUGCGUUGGCCGUUCUGUGAGAACGGAAGCGGAUAUGAAAGAGUGCGUUGCCUCGUGUCGUUCUAUUGGAUCGCCAGAGCGUUUCCAAGUUCACAACGAAAAAACUCGUUCUCUUUGAAGCUCGACUUUUGAAGGAUUGGACAAUCAUCAGUGUUACGGUUUAUAGCAGCGACCUACUGUAGGUAUUUCACGAAAUCCCUUUCAAUAUUAUUCGAUCGUAACUUGUUCGUUUGUAAAGAGAAACGAUCGAAAAGAAAGAGGUGAGUGCACGUGUUGCCAAUUUUUUAUUCGUAUGGUUAAGGGCUCAUAAUUUUGCUCGCAUUCUCGAAGGAGAUUUCGUUUGAAACGAGUAACAGUGUAUGCGGCUAAACGACGAGCGUACAAUUACUUACACUUUUAGGACCGCCCGCUUUCGCAUGCCUUAAGGAGCGAGGCAAUGCCGAGUACAAAUAAAUGUUAAAACGAGCAAGGUGAAUGCGGAAGUACGCUUGCAAGAAGAAGGGACGAAUUUUGAAGGACCGCGAGAAAAGUUUACGAGCUGGCAGCCUCUGGUAAUGACUGUCGUUAACCACCGCAAGGCGCACUCCACCGAGAGCGAACCUUUUGUAUGCUAAUGACAGGGUGGUCCAAUUUCAGCCCCUCGAGUAAAAAAAAAUCUUAGAGGUCAACAGACCCAUCGUUCGUCCGAGUUUCGAGUUUUACUCGAGUACCAUUGACCUCGUAUUAAAACCUUUCGACUUCGAUACCGACGAACCACUACCGACAAGAAAUUUAUGUAGUAAAUCAUUGACGAAACCUUAACGAUUCCUUCUCGGAAGCUCGGCCUUCUUCCCUUUAUUCCUAUAAUCUUUGCUUCUCUUAGCAAAGAAAGUACUCCUGAGAUAAGAUGGCUCAACUACUAACGAGACGUCUACUUAUAAAAUGAAAUCUAGGUGGAAAAAUCAAUUGUUAAGAUAAUAUACGUAACGCCUGGCACCAUCGAGACCACAAACGAAAGUAAAUAUCGCUUUUCGUCGGCCUUACUCUUCUUCGUUUUCAUCGCCCUUACACGACCGUUCGAAUUUCACUCACCCAACUAACACCGUUCGAAUGGGUCGCAAAAGAAUUAUUCAAAACCAGGGCUGACUGGCAAAAGCGCAGCCUGCUACCCUGCUACCGUAAUCCCAUACCCGUAUCCGAUUUGCAUAAAAGAGAAAAAUAAAAAAAAAUGCUCGCUCCAGAGAAAAACAAUAGUGAGAGAAAAAGAGAAAGAGAGAGAGAGAAAGAUAGAAAAAAAAUGGUCACGCUCGUGAUCGCGUUAACCUCGACGAAAUUGUAGAAGAAAUUGAUAUUAAAUUUUGAAUACGAUGCGUCACAAGCAUCAUGUAUACCUAUGUACACACUAUAUACAUACAUAUAACUUUAAACCUUUACUCUGAGCCCUUUCGAAGCGCAAACUUUAGAAUUAUGCGCGUGACAAAAAAGAUCUUGAAACGACUAUGCUAAUCAGCGAGACAGAAACGGAUAGACGAUGCCGUGAUACGUCGUUGGCAAAAGCCAAUUAUAGCGCGAAGACCCAUUCCCGGCAGGUAUUCCUUUCGGUUCAUAGGCCUACCUUGAUGUACACAGUCCCGUCUCCCUGAGAAAAUCGAUAUCGAGUAAAAAAGUAACACGGAAAGAACGAGAUCGAAGACCCAACGAGAUAGACAACGUUAUAUAGGCGGAGACCUCGAUGGCCAUUGUUCGAAAGCGCUAUUUGUAUUUAUUCGGAGCCUUUGUUCGAACCAUGGCUCGGGAAGCGGGGUUGUGGAUGAGAAUGAGAGAGAAAGAAAAAAAGAGAGAGAAAGAGCAAGAGGGAGGGAGAGGGAAGAAUUACUUCGCCAGCUAAAGGGGUGAGGUCCAUUAGUUGUUAGGAAACUGUCACCGAGCUUCGAUCACCAAAAAAGAAAAAAAGAAAGAAGCGUGUGCUUUUCGAAAUCACGGAGAAUCCUCGAUCGAAUAAAAAAGAAAUUAAAUAGAUCGAGUGCAUAGAAAUAAAAGAAAAAAGAAACACGACGUGACUGUAAUUUUAAUAUAUUAAAGGUGUUCGCGUGCGAUUUGGCCCCACCCCGACGGACCGACGAUCGUGCACGCGCGCGUGUGUGAAUGCACCUCGUGCAUUGGAUGCAACUGCAAGUGGUCAGUAGCUCGCAAAACGACUGACCGCUCGGUACAUUGCUUCCGCACAUCCCGUCGAUCUUCCAACAUGAAAUUCGACCGACACGCGUCCCGAAUUUCUGAUUACUUCUGAUUUUCUACCGAGACGAGAUAUCCACAAAGUAAUGCAUCGCUGAAAAUAAUUUAUACGGAAACUCUUUUAAAACACUAGUGAACGGAAAGUGACAUUAUUUCGGUGUUUCUAAAAUUAAGUGGAUCCGACAAGAUUUUUUUCAUUAUUUAAUUAAAAUCGGAAAGAGCAGGUGAAAUUAAAUUGGACGUUGUGAAUUACGAAUAUUUUAUAAAUACUAUAAUUUUAUAUAGCGUAUGAAUGUAAUAUAAAACCGUACGUAUAAUAAUAUUAUAGAAAAAUCCUGUGAGUGACAAUUCUUCGGUGAUAAAGUGAGUUUUAAUAACAUACGAAUAAUAAAGAAACCAUUGCACAAAA